rnacentral:rRNA from 1 species
GACGAACCGUGCGAACGUUGUUCGGAAUCACUGGGCUUAAAGGGCGCGUAGGCGGGCGUCGGGGUCCGGGGUGAAAUCUUUCGGCUCAACCGGAAAAGGGCCUCGGAUACCGGACGCCUGGAGGAAGGUAGGGGCAUGCGGAACUUCCGGUGGAGCGGUGAAAUGCGUUGAUAUCGGAAGGAACGCCGGUGGCGAAAGCGGCGUGCUGGACCUUUACUGACGCUGAGGCGCGAAAGCCAGGGGAGCGAACGGG